rnacentral:lncRNA from 1 species
GUUCCCAGAAGAAAAUCCUGAAGAACGGGACUCAUGAACAGGGGACGUGUCUGCUGUCUGGGUAAGUGAUUGUGUGCACCGUAAACUCAUCACAGACAACCUGAUCUUCACAUUGGUAGGUCAGUGAGGUUCCUUUCUCUGAACAGUUUACCACAUGAUGAGUUUAGGGGUAUUCCGGUAAGAAAGGGUGGUGGCUCCUUGUUCUCAUUGCCAUGUGAUCCCAUUGUUUUCUGUCCUGGAGAGAACGUAUGAGGUAUGUACCCUGUGAGUGCUGAUUGAUUGGCACGUACCCAGGGAACUCCAGUGGCACUGUGCAUCACAGGAGUAACUAAGGUGGAUUUGCAGAGAAGACAACCAGAGAAAAUGAAGUGUCCUACGAUGGCCUACCCCUUGGAGGGACCACGAGCAUCCAGGCAGAUUUCACAUUCCCUUCCAGAGGUCAAGGGAACCCUCAUUAUGCCUGAGCAGGGGAACUCUGCCUGUAUCCAGAGGGGAGAUAGUAUGGGCAUAAGCAGGCCAUGGACGAUCCAAUCUUCUGAUACACAGGUAAUCACCAAUGGCAUUCCUGCUAUUUUUCCUGUCCUGCCGUGGGUUUUCUUGCUCAUUUUCUGUUCUUUAUUUUCUGCAGUAAUUCAGUUAAGAAACAAUGCUUUGCCAACCAAGGCUAAUAAGCAUUAGUCCUUGCUAUGUUCGACUUGAGGAUAAUGUGCCUUGAACCUGAGUCCGUGUUGACUGCGGUAGAUGCGGGUGUCCAGGUGAAUUAUCCUACUCUACCAGACCACAGGAUGGAAUGAUAGUUCUGACACAUCAUCAGUCCAGAGCUGAUAGUGGUGCCAACAGUGGGGUGGAAGUUGGAGUUCUGCCAGGAUCUAGGUAAGGUUCCUAGAUGACGGCAGUGACCAGCCUGUGUGGUGCGUGUCUUUUUCGUCUUUCAGGUAUGCCAAGUGGCAUCCUGGAAAACACCUGUCAGAUGCGUUUCUUCUGCUGCUGCUAGUCAUGAGAUCAAGGUGGGUCUGAGAAUGGCCAUUCGGAGGCCCUGGAUAGUAACCGGGUAAUGGAUGACACGAGUGCUAUGCCAAUACAGACCACCUGAACUUCAGAUUUCCUGGACAAAGAGGGCACUGUCCUUGACACGGUGUUUUCCCAUGGUUUCCUGCAGGUGUCCCAUAAAGUCCUCUUCCUGUAGAGAGGUAGGAGAUGUUGUGGCAUUACCUCAUGAAAGGCACUCUGAAUUUCCCGCAUGUAGAUAAUUAAUGAUGGUUUGAGUCUGGUAGAGUAACCUUGUGUUUGGCAUAUGUGUCAUUGGGAAAAGAUAAUUAGUGAUUCCCAAUGCCAGUAAGCAUGAGAUUUUACUGUUUGCUUAUUCAAAGGUAAGGGUUUGUGUGUGUGUGUGUGUGUGUGCAAAUUUGACCCUCCAUGUGAUAAACGGAUAUGCCAGUGCUCAGGUAGUUGAUCAUAUUGUCUGUCACCCCGAUGUGGACCGUGCUGUUUCUCCAGGUAUGCCUCGUAGGCUCUGGCUUAGAUAUCUUCAGUUAUCUGGGUAACCUGGAUGAGUUGUGAAAUGAUACCAAUGAAGAAGCAUAUUUGUGGGUAUCCUUGUAGCAUAGGUUGUGGACCAAGCAGAGUUUCCCCAAUAUGUCUUUUAGAUGAAUGUCAGGGCAUCACAGCAGGCCUUUCAAAGCUGGGUAACGUGGGGCAUUGCUGGCUGAGGUAAGUGCUGACACAGGCCUAAACUGCAGCCCACAGUGUCGUACUGUCACAGAGGCUUAGUUCAGUGAUGAUGUGUCCCUACACAUCUUCCUGCCGUGAUUUCUUACGGUAAAUGAUGGUGUGUGCGGUAAACUCACCACAGACCAGGUGAUCUCCAUGUAUCUAGGUUAGUGAGGUUCCUUUGCCUGAAUGGUUUACCAUGUGAUGGGUAACAGCUGUUAUUAUAAGAAAGGGAAGCGGCUUCCCGUUCUCCUCGCCAUGUGAUCCUUUUCAUUUCUGUCCCGGUGAGAAUGUAUAAUGUAUGUGCUUUGUAAGUGCUGAUUGAUUGGCAGGAGCCCAGGGAACUCACGUGGCAUUGUGCAUCACAAAAGUGACUGCAGUGGAUUUGCAGGGAAGCCGGCCAGGGAAAAUGGCAUGUCCUAUGAUGGCCUAGACCUUGGAGGGCCCACAAGCAUGCAGGUACAUUUCUGGUUCCCAUAAUUAUGUUAGCAUGCAGGCAGUUUGUAGGGUAUUGGUGGAGGAGCUGUGUCCAUAGACCCGUUGGUCACCUGUUGGUUUCAGAUUCAGGCAGGCAGAAGUCAGAGUGUGAGGACAGCCUUGAGGUCUCUCCAGGAGAUUCAGGGUCCAUAGGAUUUGGUACGGAUUCAGGUAUGAGAUGAUGAUGGCCCUCAUCACCAUGGUAUUUUGAAGGAAUCCAAGAAACAGAUGAUGGGCCUCUCUCAUACUAACCAUGGUAGUACCCAUGGGAUUUUGUAACUACAGAGUGAAAAGAUGACAGUGGCCAUAUACCUGAGAAUGUCCAUGUGAUUUUUGUAAAUAUCCAGAUAAGAUAUGAGUGUUCCUACUUAGGAAGUGAACAUGGGUUACUGAAGUUAUAAAGGUAAGAAAUGAUAAACCUAAUCGUGUGGGUGAGCAUGGUAUUUUCUAGAUAUCCAGAUAACAGAGGAUGAUGGCCCUAACUCGAGUAUCAAAGUUGGGUUUCCUCAGGUAGGCACAUAGGAGCUGAUGAUGUUUUAUACCAUGUUAGUGAACAUGGCAUUUUGUGGUAUUCCGGAUAUGAUGGCAAAUCUAACCACAAACAUGACCAUGAGAUUUGUCAGAGAUCCAGUAAAGAGAAGAUGGUCCCCUUAACCAUGAAGUUUAUGAUGAAAUUUUGUAGGUCAGUAAUUAAGAGAUGACAGAGAUCCUAACCGUGAUACUGAACAAGGGAUUUGCAAGUCACCAGGUAAGAGAUGAUUGUGUCUCUAAAAAUGUGGUGACCGUGGGAUUUUGCAGAUUUCAAUCAAGGAAUAAUGUGUUACUAGAAAUGGUAGUACCAAGGUAUUCAACAGUUAGCCACGAAAGAAAUGAUGUGUUCCUAGCAGUGGUAUUUAAUCUGGGUUAUUUGUCGAUCUCCAUGUAUGGUAGGUUUUUCCAAAUCUGGUAGAUCUUCUGGCCUUCUGUAGGUAUCCACAUGAGAGAUGAUGUGUCACAAAUUGUAAGUAACUGCCGCUACUGUAACCAAAGUAUUUUAUAAGUAUCCAGCUAAGAGCUCUAGCUUUAUAUAUUUGUUGGAUGUAAGACUAUCAGGUUAUCUAUUUUUUUUCUUUUUUUGAGACAGCGUCUGGGUGAGGUAAGUGCUGCUGCAGGUCUAAACCACAGCCCACACCAUGGGACAGUCAGAGAGACCCAGUUCAGUGAAGAUAUGUGUCCCUACAUGCCUUCCCGCCAUGAUUUCUUUCACAUGUACUCAGGUGAGAAAUAAUGGACUCCUUACCAAUCCCAGAUUG